UACGUAGGGUGCAAGCGUUAAUCGGAAUUACUGGGCGUAAAGCGUGCGCAGGCGGUGAUGUAAGACAGAUGUGAAAUCCCCGGGCUCAACCUGGGAACUGCAUUUGUGACUGCAUCGCUGGAGUGCGGCAGAGGGGGGAUGGAAUUCCGCGUGUAGCAGUGAAAUGCGUAGAUAUGCGGAGGAACACCGAUGGCGAAGGCAAUCCCCUGGGCCGAUACUGACGCUGAGGAGCGAAAGCGUGGGGAGCGAACAGG
rnacentral:rRNA from 1 species